rnacentral:rRNA from 1 species
AGUGAACGCUGGCGGUAGGCCUAACACAUGCAAGUCGAACGGCAGCACAGUAAGAGCUUGCUCUUACGGGUGGCGAGUGGCGGACGGGUGAGGAAUACAUCGGACUCUACUUUUUCGUGGGGGAUAACGUAGGGACACUUACGCUUAUACCGCAUACGACCUUCGGGUGAAAGCAGGGGAUCUUCGGACCUUGCGCGAUUGAAUGAGCCGAUGUCGGAUUAGCUAGUUGGCGGGGUAAAGGCCCACCAAGGCGACGAUCCGUAGCUGGUCUGAGAGGAUGAUCGGCCACACUGGAACUGAGACACGGUCCAGACUCCUACGGGAGGCGGCAGUGGGGAAUAUUGGACAAUGGGCGCAAGCCUGAUCCAGCCAUACCGCGUGUGUGAAGAAGGCCUUCGGGUUGUAAAGCCCUUUUGUUGGGAAAGAAAAGCAGCAGGUUAAUACCACGCUGUUCUGACGGUACCCAAAGAAUAAGCACCGGCUAACUUCGUG